rnacentral:rRNA from 1 species
GACCCCAGGUCAGGCGGGAUCACCCGCUGAGUUUAAGCAUAUCAAUAAGCGGAGGAAAAGAAACUAACAAGGAUUCCCUUAGUAACGGCGAGCGAACCGGGAAGAGCCCAGCUGAAAAUCGAC